UCACUUCCAUGUCCUUCCACAGUCUCAUCGGUACAGUCAGCCCCAGAUGAGCAUCUGUCCCAGGGGGAGAUCAAGGCCCUGCUCCCCCGGAGGCUGGUGGAGAGGCUAGAGGAUGUGAGGGCAGCGUUCAAAGGCCUGGACCCUGAGGGGAGCGGCUCAGUGACCCGGGGGGAGUUCAGACAGGUGGUGGAGGCCUUCCUCUUCCCCCUCACGCAGACCCAGCUCAACGCCAUGCUGGCCAUGGUGUCUAAGAGAGACAGUGUAACGGUGGACUACAUGGACUUCCUGAGGCGGUACAGCAGGGUGAUGUCGUUUUAGCAAUUUUGACAGUACGUCCAACCGGCCUCACAACCACAGACCACGUGUAUGGCAUCGUGUGCCUAUGUCAAUGUUGUGAACAGAGUGCCCCAUGAUGGCGGUGGGGUUAUGGUAUGGGCAGGCAUAAGCUACAAAGAACAAACAUCAAUGGCAAUUUUAAUGCACAGAGAUACCGUGAUGAGAUCCUGAGGCCCAUUGUCAUGCCAUUCACAGAUCUGGGGAAGGGUACCAAAACAUUUCUACAGCAUUGAA
rnacentral:lncRNA from 8 species